ensembl:misc_RNA Metazoa_SRP Metazoan signal recognition particle RNA
GCUGAGCAUGGUGGCUUGUGUCUGUAGUCCCAGCUACUCAGCAGGCGGAGGCAGGAGGAUUGCUUGAGCCCAGAAGUUCAGGAUGUUACUGCUGUAUGCCAAGCAGGUGUUCACACUGAGUUUGGUAUCAAUAUGGUGACCUCUCAGGAGCAGGGAACUACCAGAUUACCUAAGGGGGAGUGAACUGUGAUGGUCACUAGCAGUAUGGAGCCCGAGCAUAGCCACUGCACUCCAGCCUGGGCAACAUAGCCAGACCCUGUCUCUA